rnacentral:rRNA from 1 species
UGGCGAACGGGUGAGUAACGCGUGAGGAACCUGCCUCAAAGAGGGGGACAACAGUUGGAAACGACUGCUAAUACCGCAUAAGCCCACGACCCGGCAUCGGGAAGAGGGAAAAGGAGCAAUCCGCUUUGAGAUGGCCUCGCGUCCGAUUAGCUAGUUGGUGAGGUAACGGCCCACCAAGGCGACGAUCGGUAGCCGGACUGAGAGGAUGACCGGCCACACUGGGACUGAGACACGGCCCAG